rnacentral:rRNA from 1 species
AUUGAACGCUGGCGGCAGGCUUAACACAUGCAAGUCGAGCGGGGAAAAGUAGCUUGCUACUGGACCUAGCGGCGGACGGGUGAGUAAUGCUUAGGAAUCUGCCUAUUAGUGGGGGACGACGUUCCGAAAGGGACGCUAAUACCGCAUACGUCCUACGGGAGAAAGCAGGGGAUCGUCGGACCUUGCGCUAAUAGAUGAGCCUAAGUCGGAUUAGCUAGUUGGUGGGGUAAAGGCCUACCAAGGCGACGAUCUGUAGCGGGUCUGAGAGGAUGAUCCGCCACACUGGGACUGAGACACGGCCCAGACUCCUACGGGAGGCAGCAGUGGGGAAUAUUGGACAAUGGGGGGAACCCUGAACCAGCCAUGCCGCGUGUGUGAAGAAGGCCUUUUGGUUGUAAAGCACUUUAAGCGAGGAGGAGGCUACCGAGAUUAAUACUCUUGGAUAGUGGACGUUACUCGCAGAAUAAGCACCGGCUAACUCUGUGCCAGCCGCCGCCGUAAGAC